AUUUGUAUAUGCUAUAUGUAUCCUUUUUUAUGUCAUAAAUCUUUGUAAUUCUCUCUAUAUUUUUGAGAGAAAAAACACCAGUCCCAAUUGAAACUUGGAUUGAGUAGCUUGAGUGGGGGUAGUCAGUUAUUUUCAGCCAGAAUUUGACUAUAUUUCGAGAGAGAAAAAAACGCCAGUCCCAAUUGAAACUUGGAUUGAGUAGCUUGAGUGGGAUGCUCAAUUAUUUUCAGCCAGAAUUUGACUGUAAGGGGUUCCAAAGACGUCCUUAGAAUAAAAGGUUCCGAGGUUCAGUUGUGAUGUUGCUCUUGCUGCCAUCUUCAUCACACUGUGUUUGGUUCUGAAGGCUCAACUGGUCAACAUGGUACACAUGCACUGCAGUGCUACCCAAACAAGUUAAAAUCAAUGAUUAUUAUGCACUUGGAUUGGAUCAUCACUUACAUACAUAAACGGACACAAGCAAGUUGUAUAUAGGACUUACAGAUAAUCGAGUCACAAAUUAAACGAACAUUCAGAUGACUUUUACAUACAUAUACAUAUGACAGAACAUGCGUACGUGAGCCAGGACGUACCAUAUUGUAGUUCGCCGGGGAUGGGGACGAGCUCGGCCAUGAAGGAGGCGGGGCUUGACCAAGGAGGAGGUGGACACAGCUCAGCCAUGGAGGAGGCGGGGCUUGGUCUGAGCAGAGAAAGAGAUGAGGAAGAAGAGAGAGAGAGAGAGAGACAGGGGCAACAAGGAUAUUUCGUGCUUGUUUUCUCUCCUCCUUAUCUAGAAA
rnacentral:lncRNA from 1 species